GAUCGCAACAAUUCCACUCCUCUUUCUCUCUCUCUCCGCCGUGUGCCGCUAUGGACGACCCACCGUUGCAAAAGAUCGCAAUUUCCGGCCCAACCUUAGCCUCCAUCAUCCAACGCUUCUCCACCUCUCCCUCUGCCGUUGACGGCCUCCUCUUCGGCCACGUCACCCACGUGACCCCACUCAAUCUCUCCGACGACUCCGCCACCACCGCGGCGGACUCCCCCACCCUCCUCGCCACCGUCACCGGCUUCCUCUGCUCCUCCACCUUCUACGACUCAACCGGCGCCGUCCAACCUGUCUCCCUCCGCCGCCUCCUCCACCUCCGCUCCUCCCUCCUUGGCUGGUUCUCCGGCCGCCGGAAAACCCCCCUCCGGCCCUCAAUGCACGAGUUCUCCGUCACAAAAUCACUCUCCUCCUUUUCACAGCUAUCUUCCCAAAUCGAAAACGCCCCUGAACCCUCGAAUUUCAACCCCUGCGUGUUCCUCCUCUUGGCUUCGCCGCAACCGGACCCCACCGGCCACGUCCACACCCACGAGUAUCGCGCCUAUCAGUUCCGUGGCGGCACCGAGUCGUUCGAACCCAAAUCGCUCGACAUUGUCAACAUUGGCCCCGCCUUCCGCGGCCAUUAUGGGUCCUUCAGCCCUAAUUCGCCGUUCCCAGCACUUGAUUGCGAGCUGCGGGGCUCGCCGAUGAACGAGGACGAUGACGAGCGGUUGAGCCGGAUAAAGCAGGAUUCGAAGUAUCAGAAGGAGCUUGAUGAGUCUGCUGAGGGGUUUGAUGUUGGGAGAUUGAGAAGGUUGAUUGGUUCCGAAGCCAAGAAUUAUACUGAAGGUUUGGAGGAUUUGUACGAGAAAAUGCUUGUCAAGAUUGAAAAUUUGACUAGGUCGGUGGAGAAGAGUUCUGCUAAGGUUCUUGAGCAGGAAAAUCAUAAUAGGAAGUUAAAACACAAAAUUUUGAGAUCUGCUACACCAGAAUAACUAUAUCAAUGCUGGCAAUCCCUUUUUUCUUUCAGAUAAGCAAUAGGCAAUUUUCAGCCUUCUGUGUCGACCCGGAUCAUCAACAGCUUUUUCUGGAAUCACCUGAAACAUGAGUAUACCUGUUUGGAUUUGGUGGACCUGUGAUAUAUAUGCAGUCCAGCUAUUGUAGAUGUUGUAUUUUAUCUUUUGGUGACUCUUCAAGAUGAAGAAGACAGUAAUUGUGCAGGGCGGUCAAAUGAUUUGAUCCUUCUCAAUACAAGAAAGCUCUGAUGUUUUCUCUCCCUAUCCUGUGGCAUAUAUUCGUUCCAUGAACACAGUUAAUUGAAGAGCCUCAUGGGACAAGGACACUAACCGUGGCUAGAGGUACUAGUAUGAGGAUGUGGAGUUCUGGGUGGUCGGAUGCUACUAUUUGUUUUAGACGUAUUUUUGGAGAAGAUGUAUUG